rnacentral:SRP_RNA from 1 species
GCCGGGUGUAGUGGCGUGCACCUGUAGUCCCAGCUACUUGGGACGCUGAGGCAGGAGAAUCACUUGAGCCCAGGAGGCAGAGGUUGCAGUGAGCCGAGAUCGUGCCACUGCACUCAGGCCUGGGCAACACAGUGAGACUCUGUCUCUA